UUAAUAAGUCUGACAAUUAGUAUAUUAGCAAAUUCCUCUAAUCACCAGCUCAAAUCAAGAGCAGAUAGCUUCUUAAUAAGUCUGACAAUUAGUAUAUUAGCAAAUUCCUCUAAUCACCAGCUCAAAUCAAGAGCAGAUAGCUUCUUAAUAAGUCUGACAAUUAGUAUAUUAGCAAAUUCCUCUAAUCACCAGCUCAAAUCAAGUGCAGAUAGCUUCUUUGUUUUUAUGUUUUUUUCUUCAAACUAGAAUUUUAUUUUAGCAUUUUUUUAUUAAAGAUGCAGUGGCGAGUUUAUUAAUUUACUAUAUUGAUGAAAUCUAUGGUGUAUAAGAUUUUAACUUAAUGGACUUGAUGGUUCCUAGAUAAGAGGAUUGUUCUUUUACUUGAAUAAGAGUCCCUUUGUUUACGUUAUAAGUCAUUUUCCGGCUGUCAUAAAAGACAAAGCUUUUAAUUGUUAGAGUGGAAGCAUAUGAGUUUAAAUCUUUAUAUGUUUUAUUUGGUAAACUGAUUCUAACCAUUUUUUUGUGUUUGUUUUUCAAGUAUGAAGUAUGGAAUGGUAAUCAAUGCUGAAGACUAGGAUUCAGGAGAAAAACAGUUAAGAAGCAAAAUAAGUGGGUAAUUUAAUUAAACAUUUAUCAGUACAUGACCCAAGUGCAACAGAUGCUGAGAGGGCAGAAGCUAUGCUGAUUGGCCAACCCAAUGAAUUUGGUGAGGAUUAUGAUGUAGAGUAGAGUUACUCUGAAAGUGAAGAAAAUGUAAUAAAGUCGGUCCCAGUUCAGGGUGAAGGAGCAGUCCAAGAAGGGAAGCAGGAAAGACCACAGGUUGUGGUUUUUGAAGUGAUUCAACUGCCAGGUGGGGUAGGUGAAACCUCUGACAGCUCUGAGCAAGCUCUUACUGAACUCCAGCAGAGUUCAGUUUUGAUAACAGUCAUGGAACACCUCAAAAGAAUAUCACUGUCCUUGAGCUGGCCCAAAACCAAGAAUCCCAGGUUAACAAAUUAAUUGUUAAUGUCACCAGAAAUAAUGGAGAAUCUAUAACAUCAGUACUCAUCAAAGAUGAAGCUCAAACCAUAGUAAACUUCCCCCUUUCACACCUCGCCGUCGUCCUCGAAAAUAUCCACUUACAACAGAAUGUCAACCACAGGGACCUGAAAUCAUGCAUGGUAAACAACUGAAGAACUUGGUUAAAUGCAGAACCUUUAGCCAAUAUAGAACGAGUAGAGCAAAUCCAUGCUAAUCCUGAGGAAAUUGUUCAACAAGAAGAAGAAAUUACAAGAAAAAGACAAGAACAAAAGAAGGAAAGAGACAUGGAAGAACACUUUGGUUUUGAUGUUGUACUAAAGUAAUGGGGAGAAUGGAUGGUGCGAUAUUCGAUGACACAGAUAUGAGCGAAGGAAGAGUUGUGAUUUAUCUGGGAAUAUUUGGUGUAAUUAUAUUGCUAAUAUGUCUCAUCUGUUACUGUUGCAAUAAGAAAAUUUACGAUGACGAUUUUGAGACAUCACACUGUGGACUUACGAGGAGUUCGAACGUACAAGGACAUCGGCAUAUCGUGACAAUAAGUGGUGCACCACAAGAACCUGUGACACCAUCACCUCCCCCACCUUAUGACGAUGCUAUCAAGAAAGGAACACGUUUUCAGUUUGAUCAGAGUCCCCCAUCUUACGAAGUUGCACUAUCUUGGCAGAAUUUUCCAGGUGUUCACAACUUUGGACUUGAAGAAUCUUCAAUCUUACACAGACCACAAUAUCAAAUAUUGCCAACAUUAAUGCCCUCGUGAUAAACGCUGGUUGUGAAGAAGGCUGUAAACACUUGCUUAGUGGCAAUUACAAUUGACACUAUUUAAUAAUGAUGCAUCAGAUCCACAAUUUUUAGAAGGAUCUGGGUGAGGGAAUGACAGGGUAGCUUGAUUUUCAGCAAUCCUCGUUUACCAAAUGUGGAGACAUGAUAAAAAUAACUAAGUGCUUGACAAAAAAGUUGGUUUUCAAUUGCUAUAAAUUGUUUAACAAUUUUUGUAGAAUUAGAAAGCAGUGACUUUUAUAAGUAUCAUACUUGAUGCCUAAUAAAGGCCAACCUAUUUUUAAAGUCUGACACCCAUAUGACAAAGCACAUUAAUUUGGAUUUAAGUUUUUGUAAGUUAUUCAAAUGUUCUCUUUAUGUACCAUUUACAGAUUAUUUUAAUUUGUAAGUGUUCUCACACUUCUUUAUUGUCUGUUCUUUACAAGUGUAGUGCUAGCUUGUAUUUACUUUUUUUAGUUAUUUUUUAUGUCUCUGAUUUAAAAGCAUCUAGUCAUCCAUUAAAUUAGUCAUUCUGUCCAGGUACAAAAGUUUAAAAGAUUAUUUGUAACUUCAUUUGGUAUUUUUUUAAGGAAAAAAAAACUCAAUCUGAGGCCAUUAGCUACAUCUUGUUGAGAGUCACAUGUAUAAUUUAACAUUGAAAAGCCUAUACCAUAAGUAACCUUUAUACCAGUGCUCAAACAUGGUAGUGUUUUGAUUCUACAAUACUGAUAACUCAGUGUUUACAUUCUGCAAUACAUACAACUUGGCAUUUUCAUUCCAAUGUUCUAGCACUAUACUUUUUCAAUUCCAUAUACUUUUCAUUUUAUUAUGUUAAUCAUUCUGAGGUCUUGCAACCUCAGUUGGCUUUACAUCCUGGUAUUUUCACCUUGUUAUAAUAUGAAUAUGCAACUCCAUGAACUUGACAUUGGUUUAUGACUGAGAUGUUUCCAACUGAAGACAGGACAAAAUAGCCAUAUGUGUGACUAAAAGUUGGUUUUCAUUUACUUUAAAUUGUAUAAAUAAAAUUUGAAUAAUUGGAAAGCAUUGACUUUUUAAUGUGUAUUAUUGAUGCAUAUAUUUUUAAGAUCUAUAUAACAGACUUAAAACAAAUCGAAGUGUUUUCAAACAUGAAAGAUAUUUAGUUUGAUGUGUCAAUCAUAAAUUUGAUAAUUUUUGAGAACUUGUAGAAAGUAUUGUGUUGUUUUUAUGGGAACCUAAAACUGUUUUAGUAUUUUUGUCUGUGGGCUUUAAACUUGUUAAAAUAUAUAUUGUAGAAAAUUAAAUUAUAAUUGUGAAUGCUGUAUUUUUUUAUUAAAAUAAGUUUUCUAAUUUCA